rnacentral:rRNA from 1 species
AGCGAACGCUGGCGGCAGGCCUAACACAUGCAAGUCGAACGAACCUUUCGGGGUUAGUGGCGGACGGGUGAGUAACACGAGGGAACGUGCCUUUAGGUUCGGAAUAACUCAGGGAAACUUGUGCUAAUACCGAAUGUGCCCUUCGGGGGAAAGAUUAAUCGCCUUUAGAGCGGCCCGCGUCUGAUUAGCUAGUUGGUUGAGGUAAUGGCUCACCAAGGCGACGAUCAGUAGCUGGUCUGAGAGGAUGAUCAGCCACAUUGGGACUGAGACACGGCCCAAACUCCUACGGGAGGCAGCAGUGGGGAAUCUUGCGCAAUGGGCGAAAGCCUGACGCAGCCAUGCCGCGUGAAUGAUGAAGGUCUUAGGAUUGUAAAAUUCUUUCACCGGGGACGAUAAUGACGGUACCCGGAGAAGAAGCCCCGGCUAACUUCGUG